UACGUAGGUGGCGAGCGUUGUCCGGAAUCACUGGGCGUAAAGGGCGCGUAGGCGGCUCAUGAAGGCUGUGGUGAAAGUCCGGGGCUCAACCUCGGAUCGGCCGUGGCGACUCGUGGGCUGGAGCACUGUAGAGGCGGGUGGAAUUCCGGGUGUAGCGGUGGAAUGCGUAGAGAUCCGGAAGAACACCAGUGGCGAAGGCGGCCCGCUGGGCAGUGGCUGACGCUGAAGCGCGACAGCGUGGGGAGCAAACAGG
rnacentral:rRNA from 1 species